rnacentral:rRNA from 1 species
AUACGGAGGGUCCGAGCGUUAAUCGGAAUUACUGGGCGUAAAGCGUACGUAGGUGGCUUGAUUAGUCGGAUGUGAAAGCCCUGGGCUCAACCUGGGAACUGCAUUCGAUACUGUCUGGCUAGAGUAUAGUAGAGGCAAGUGGAAUUCCGGGUGUAGCGGUGAAAUGCGUAGAUAUCCGGAGGAACACCAGUGGCGAAGGCGGCUUGCUGGACUAAUACUGACACUGAGGUACGAAAGCGUGGGGAGCAAACAGGAUUAGAAACCCCGGUAGUCC